GAUGAACGCUGGCGGCGUGCCUAAUACAUGCAAGUCGAACGGAGAAUGUAGCAAUACGUUCUUAGUGGCGAACGGGUGAGUAACGCGUUGGUGACCUGCCCCGAAGUGUGGGAUAACAGUCCGAAAGGAUUGCUAAUACCGCAUGUGAUCACCGGAAUUAGAAACCGGUGAUUAAAGGAGUUAUUCGCUUUGGGAGGGACCUGCGUCCCAUCAGCUAGUUGGUAAGGUAACGGCCUACCAAGGGCAUGACGGGUAGGGGACCUGAGAGGGUGGACCCCCACAAUGGCACUGAAACACGGGCCAAACACCUACGGGUGGCAGCAGUAGGGAAUAUUGGUUAAUCUACGAAAGUGGGAACCAGCAACGCCGCGUGUGCGAUGAAGGCCUUCGGGUCGUAAAGCACUUUUUACAGGGACGAGGAAGGACGGUACCUGUAGAAUAAGCCUCGGCUAACUACGUGCCAGCAGCCGCCGUAAUAC
rnacentral:rRNA from 1 species